rnacentral:snRNA from 1 species
AUCGCUUCUCGGCCUUUUGGCUAAGAUCAAGUGUAAAAAUGAUGCUGCAACACAGAGUAUACUUAAAUUGUUUUCAUUAAGCUGAAUUCUUCUUGUAGAAAUUUACCCAUGGUGAAACCCUG